AGUGAACGCUGGCGGUAGGCCUAACACAUGCAAGUCGAACGGCAGCACAGUAAGAGCUUGCUCUUACGGGUGGCGAGUGGCGGACGGGUGAGGAAUACAUCGGAAUCUACUUUUUCGUGGGGGAUAACGUAGGGAAACUUACGCUAAUACCGCAUACGACCUACGGGUGAAAGCAGGGGAUCUUCGGACCUUGCGUGAUUGAAUGAGCCGAUGUCGGAUUAGCUAGUUGGCGGGGUAAAGGCCCACCAAGGCGACGAUCCGUAGCUGGUCUGAGAGGAUGAUCAGCCACACUGGAACUGAGACACGGUCCAGACUCCUACGGGAGGCAGCAGUGGGGAAUAUUGGACAAUGGGCGCAAGCCUGAUCCAGCCAUACCGCGUGGGUGAAGAAGGCCUUCGGGUUGUAAAGCCCUUUUGUUGGGAAAGAAAAGCAGCAGGUUAAUACCCCGCUGUUCCGACGGUACCCAAAGAAUAAGCACCGGCUAACUUCGUG
rnacentral:rRNA from 1 species